rnacentral:lncRNA from 1 species
CGUCUGAUAUCAAAUCAUCUUCGUCAGUCGCCAUACUUAAAUCUAAACUAUAUAUAUAUUGCACUAAAAAGCUGAACAGUACUUUUGAUGUAGACCGUCCUAGAACAUGGAAAACUGUAUGCAGUGAAUGUCGUUCUUUACAUACAAUCUGUUGUUCAUAGAUGUAAUUAUAAUUGUUGUAUGUCCUAAUGUUUAUGUAUAUAAUAUGUAUUC